UAGGUAAAUAGUGUGACAGAGAAAUAGACCCAGUGGGGAGUAUUUCAAAAUUCUUGAGAAUUGAUGUGCUCUGAGGAAGCUGCUCAGGGUAGUCUACAGCUUAUUAAAAACUUCACAGCCCAGAGAACCUGUAAGUGUGUGACAACUGAGAUCAGUCUCCCUGCGGUCAUUUGUGUGAAGACCACUUUCGUCUUUGUUGCAUGGGUCUUUGAGCAGUCCUGUGGACUACUGCUCUGAGUCAAACAAAUUAUAACAGCUCAGUUUCAUAAAGCCAGGUUUGAAGAUCUUCAUAUUUUUUAAUAACUCUCAGGAUUCUUCCUGCUUAAAAGAAGCUACUAUUGAAAAGCAGGGCCUGACACUGUGAAGCCACCAGUGAUUUCUUAAAAGAUGAACCGAUGUUAAAUAACGUUUAAUGUGAAUUUCAUAGAGAACUGUCUGUUUUAUACAUUGCAAAGUUUAUAUUCUUAACUUAAAAAAUGUAUGUUAAUUUGG
rnacentral:lncRNA from 1 species